CAUAACCCCUCCCAGGGGACGCUGUGAAGUGCUAGGAUACUGUAAUGAAUACAUUCAGGUGUUAGCCAGUGGGUAGGACAGGUAUUUUGGGUUGAGGUGGAAUUUCCGGGUACUUUGGAAGCUAAUCCCCGUUCCAUAUUUUGAUAAUUGCCUGUCAACAGUUAAGAAUGCCCUCCUUGAGCUUGAUGUCACCACCCUCACCCUGAAAAUCAACAUUGUCAGCCAACAGAGCAGCUGGUAAAGAUACUUCCUUUCUCCCUGGCCAGCUGCCUCUCAAACCUGGCUAUCCACCUAUCUGAAGCAGUAUGAGAGGUCCGCCUGACCUAUAUAAUAGCCUUGGGAUAGGCUUACUCUGAGUCAGAAGAGGGAGAACAAAAGGUCAGGGGGGAUCAAGACAUGGCACUCCUGUAAUCUGGAAAAUCUACCUAGAAUGUUUUUGGCCCUUCCUUCGUACCAGAGAAGAAAUCUAAAUUAUUAUGGGAUUAAAGAAAAACUGACACCAUAUAAUACUAUUCAUAUAUAUUUAUGCAUUAUUCAGUUUCUAAACUUUUUUCUGUGUCAUCUAUUAACCUUUGUGUAUUGUCUACAGUUUUUACAAAAAUUCCUCCAAAUUCCCACUUCA